rnacentral:rRNA from 1 species
UACGUAGGGUCCGAGCGUUGUCCGGAAUUACUGGGCGUAAAGCGUGCGCAGGCUGUUCUGUAAGUCAGAUGUGAAAUCCCCGAGCUCAACUUGGGAACUGCGUUUGAAACUACAGGACUAGAAUAUGUCGAGAGGGGGUAGAAUUCCACGUGUAGCAGUGAAAUGCGUAGAGAUGUGGAGGAAUACCAACGGCGAAGGCCAGCCCCUGGGAUAAUAUUGACGCCUCAUG